GAUGAACGCUGGCGGCGUGCCUAAUACAUGCGAGUCGAGCGAACGGACGAGAAGCUUGCUUCUCUGAUGUUAGCGGCGGACGGGUGAGUAACACGUGGAUAACCUACCUAUAAGACUGGGAUAACUUCGGGAAACCGGAGCUAAUACCGGAUAAUAUUUUGAACCGCAUGGUUCAAAAGUGAAAGACGGUCUUGCUGUCACUUAUAGGUGGAUCCGCGCUGCAUUAGCUAGUUGGUAAGGUAACGGCUUACCAAGGCAACGAUGCAUAGCCGACCUGAGAGGGUGAUCGGCCACACUGGAACUGAGACACGGUCCAGACUCCUACGGGAGGCAGCAGUAGGGAAUCUUCCGCAAUGGGCGAAAGCCUGACGGAGCAACGCCGCGUGAGUGAUGAAGGUCUUCGGAUCGUAAAACUCUGUUAUUAGGGAAGAACAUAUGUGUAAGUAACUGUGCACAUCUUGACGGUACCUAAUCAGAAAGCCACGGCUAACUACGUG
rnacentral:rRNA from 1 species